rnacentral:tRNA from 1 species
GGCGAUGUAGCUCAGUUGGUUAGAGCGAGGGUCUCAUAAUCCCUAGGUCGCUGGUUCGAAUCCAGCCAUCGCCACCA